ACGAACGCUGGCGGCAUGCCUAACACAUGCAAGUCGCACGAGACCUUCGGGUCUAGUGGCGCACGGGUGCGUAACGCGUGGGAACCUGCCCUUAGGUUCGGAAUAACUCCCCGAAAGGGGUGCUAAUACCGGAUAAUGUCUUCGGACCAAAGAUUUAUCGCCUUUGGAUGGGCCCGCGUUGGAUUAGCUAGUUGGUAGGGUAAAAGCCUACCAAGGCGACGAUCCAUAGCUGGUCUGAGAGGAUGAUCAGCCACACUGGGACUGAGACACGGCCCAGACUCCUACGGGAGGCAGCAGUGGGGAAUAUUGGACAAUGGGCGAAAGCCUGAUCCAGCAAUGCCGCGUGAGUGAUGAAGGCCUUAGGGUUGUAAAGCUCUUUUACCCGGGAUGAUAAUGGCAGUACCGGGAGAAUAAGCUCCGGCUAACUCCGUG
rnacentral:rRNA from 1 species